rnacentral:rRNA from 1 species
CCUACGGGGGGCAGCAGUGGGGGAUAUUGCACAAUGGGGGGAACCCUGAUGCAGCGACGCCGCGUGGGUGAAGGAGCGUUUCGGCGCGUAAAGCCCUAUCGGCAGGGAAGAAGAUGACGGUACCUGACCAAGAAGCCCCGGCUAACUACGUGCCAGCAGCCGCGGUAAUACGUAGGGGGGAAGCGUUAUCCGGAUGUACUGGGUGGAAAGGGGGCGCAGACGGCCAUGCAAGCCAGGAGGGAAAGCCCGGGGCCCAACCCCGGGACUGCUCUUGGAACUGCAUGGCUGGAGUACAGGAGGGGCAGGCGGAAUUCCUAGUGUAGCGGUGAAAUGCGUAGAUAUUAGGAGGAACACCGGUGGCGAAGGCGGCCUUCUGGACUGUGACUGACGUUGAGGCCCGAAGGCGUGGGGAGCAAACAGGAUUAGAUACCCUUGUAGUC